rnacentral:rRNA from 1 species
AACGAACGCUGGCGGCGUGUUUAAGACAUGCAAGUCGAACGGAGUGAAGUUGUAGCAAUACCGCUUCAUUCAGUGGCGCACGGGUGCGUAACACGUGAGUUACAUGCCCUGUAGUGGGGAAUAGCCCGCCGAAAGGCGGAUUAAUACCCCAUGGUCCCGCAAGGGUAAAGGUGGCGUAAGCUGCCGCUACAGGAUUGGCUCGCGGCCUAUCAGCUUGUUGGUGAGGUAACGGCUCACCAAGGCUACGACGGGUACCUGGUCUGAGAGGAUGAUCAGGCACACUGGAACUGAGACACGGUCCAGACACCUACGGGUGGCAGCAGUCGAGAAUAAUUCACAAUGGACGAAAGUCUGAUGGUGCAACGCCGCGUGGAGGAUGAAGGUCUUCGGAUUGUAAACUCCUGUCAUCGGGGAGUAAGACCUGGCGGUAAAUAGCCGACAGGGUUGAUAGUACCCGAAGAGGAAGGGACGGCUAACUUCGUGCCAGCAGCCGCGGUAAAAC